GUCAGUUUGGCCGAGUUGGUUAAGGCGACAGACUUGAAAUCUGUUGGGCUACGCCCGCGUAGGUUCAAAUCCUGCAGCUGACG